CUUUAUUGACAAGGGAUUCAGUCAAGAAGAUUACUUUAGCAUUGGGACCAAAAAAACUCUUUUUCCAGAGGGUUUGAUAAGAUUCUUCAUUUGCUUCUGGCAAGUUUAAUGGAGAAUUCACCUGUAAUUAGGGCCAAGGCUUUACGAGCGGUCAGUAUAAUUGUAGAAGCUGAUCCGCAGAUGCUAGGAGACAAACGCGUUCAAUCGGCUGUUGAAGGAAGGUUUUGUGAUUCCGUAAUUUCUGUCAGAGAAGCAGCAC